rnacentral:lncRNA from 1 species
UCUCGAGAUGUUAAAUGAACUUAUGUGCCAAUCACAUAUAUUAAUUAUUAUGAUGUAUUAUGAGAAAAUAAGCAAAACUAAAAUAAACAAAACUAAAGAAAAUAUAACUCUCUUUAAAAAUUGAUUUCUUUGCUAGGCAUAUGAGGGAAUAUAAACAAAAUAUCACUUGCUCCAACAAAAUUGAUAGAAGGGGUGAAAUUUGCAUGGUGUCUCCUGGGGUACAAGGUUUUCGGGCACAGUAGUCCCUUCUCUACACACAUUUGUCCUAAGGUCUCACUUCUCUGGCCUGUUUUGACAAAUGUACAAUGAGAUAGUUCAAUUAGAUGAUUUCCAGAAUGCCUUCCAACUCUCUCACUGCAUCUCUUUACAUUGUCUUUCCUCUAUGUGGGUCCCUGUGUGCAAAUCCCCCCUUUUUAUAAGGACACCAAUCACUCAAUCAAGACCCAUCCUAAGGACCCCACUGUAACUUGAUUACUUCUGUUGCAAUCUCUAUCUCCAGAAAGGAUGCAUCCCCAUCUGUCCAAAGGCUAUGCGUGCGUAGCUUGCAAUUAAAUACAAAGUUCACAUAGAACGUAAGAUUAAUGUUUUCCCCUGUUUUGGGACACACAAACAGAAACACACACAUUUCCUGACUUUUUAAUGAUUGCCAUUCUAACUGGUGUGAGAUGGUAUCUCAUAGUGGUUUUGAUUUGCAUUUCUCUGAUGGCCAGUGAUGAUGAGCAUGUUUUCAUGUGUUUUUUGGCUGCAUAAAUGUCUUCUUUUGAGAAGUGUCUGUUCAUGUCCUUCGCCCAGUAGUUUCUUUUGCUGUGCAGAAGCUCUUCAGUUUAAUUAGAUCCCAUUUGUCAAUUUUGUCUUUUGUUGCCAUUGCGGCAUCCCUGUCUUGUGCCAGUUUUCAAAGGGAAUGCUUCCAGUUUUUGCCCAUUCAGUAUGAUAUUGGCUGUGGGUUUGUGAUAGAUAGGUCUUAUUAUUUUGAAAUAUGUCCCAUCAAUACCUAGAUGAGACUCUGGACUUUGAACUUUUGAGUUGAUGACUAGAACAAGUUAAGAAUUUGAGACUAUUGGGAUAGAAUGAAUGUAUUUUGCAUUGUAAGAACAUACAUUUGGAGGACCAAGAAUGGAAUGCUAUGGUUUGAAUAUGUCCCCAAAAUUUAUGUAUUGAAAACUUAAUCUCCAAUGCAACACUGUUGGGAGGUGGGGCCUCGUAAGAGGUGAUUAUGUCAUGAAAGCUUGGCCUGAAGGAAUGGAUUAAUGUCAUUAUCAAGGGAGUGAAAUAGCUGUCACAAGAGUGGGUUUCUUUUAAAAGUGAGUUCAGCAUAUUUUGCUCUCUUGCUCUCACCCUCCCUUGUUACACAAUGUUAACAACCAUGAAAAACAAUACAAAAUGCCCUCCAUUUAACAAGUAGAAAAAUAUAACUAGUAUAUAUGGCAAUUGUGAAUCUAAUA